CCUACGGGUGGCAGCAGUGGGGAAUAUUGGACAAUGGGGGGAACCCUGAUCCAGCCAUGCCGCGUGUGUGAAGAAGGCCCUCGGGUUGUAAAGCACUUUCAGUGAGGAAGAACGCCUGGUGGUUAAUACCCAUCAGGAAAGACAUCACUCACAGAAGAAGCACCGGCUAACUCCGUGCCAGCAGCCGCGGUAAUACGGAGGGUGCGAGCGUUAAUCGGAAUUACUGGGCGUAAAGCGCGCGUAGGUGGCUUGAUAAGCCGGUUGUGAAAGCCCCGGGCUCAACCUGGGAACGGCAUCCGGAACUGUCAAGCUAGAGUGCAGGAGAGGAAGGUAGAAUUCCCGGUGUAGCGGGGAAAUGCGUAGAGAUCGGGAGGAAUACCAGUGGCGAAGGCGGCCUUCUGGACUGACACUGACACUGAGGUGCGAAAGCGUGGGUAGCAAACAGGAUUAGAUACCCGUGUAGUC
rnacentral:rRNA from 1 species